UGAGGAAUUUUUCACAAUGGACGAAAGUCUGAUGGAGCAAUACCACGUGGACGAUGAAGGUCUUCUGAUUGUAAAGUUCUUUUAUUUAGGAAAAAAAGCGUGCUAGGAAAUGAGCGCGCCUUGAUGGUACUAAUUGAAUAAGUGACAGCUAACUAUGUGCCAGCAGCUGCGGUAAAACAUAGGUCACGAGCAUUAUCCGGAUUUAUUGGGCGUAAAGGAAGCGUAGGCGGGGAGGUUGAUCCAUUGUUAAAAGCAUUUGCUUAACAAAUGUGUGCAUUGGAGAUCGCCUCCCUAGAGUUAAUCAGGGGGUACUGGAAUUCAAUGUGUAGCGGUGGAAUGCGUAGAUAUAUUGAGGAACACCAGAGGCUAAGGCGAGUGCCUAGGAUAUAACUGACGCUGAGGCUUGAAAGCGGUGGGGAGCAAAGUGGGAUUAGAUACCCCGAGUAGUCCACGCCGUAAACGAUGAGCA
rnacentral:rRNA from 1 species